rnacentral:rRNA from 1 species
UCAGAGGCGAUGAAGGACGUAGUAACUUGCGAAAAGCGUUGGUGAGCUAGUAACAAGCAUUUGAGCCAGCGAUGUCCGAAUGGGGAAACCCGGCAGCAUAAGCUGUCAUCACUAAGUGAAUACAUAGCUUAGUGAGGCGAACGAGGGGAACUGAAACAUCUAAGUACCCUUAGGAAAAGAAAUCAACCGAGAUUCCCCAAGUAGCGGCGAGCGAACGGGGAUUAGCCCUUAAGUCUUUGGGGU